UACAGAGGUCUCAAGCGUUGUUCGGAUUCAUUGGGCGUAAAGGGUGCGUAGGCGGCGUGGUAAGUCGGAUGUGAAAUCUCGGAGCUUAACUCCGAAACUGCAUUCGAUACUGCCGUGCUUGAGGACUGGAGAGGAGACUGGAAUUUACGGUGUAGCGGUGAAAUGCGUAGAUAUCGUAAGGAAGACCAGUGGCGAAGGCGGGUCUCUGGACAGUUCCUGACGCUGAGGCACGAAGGCCAGGGGGAGCAAAACGGG
rnacentral:rRNA from 1 species